GCCCUGGUGGUGGAAUUGGUAGACACGAGGGACUUAAAAUCCCUUGAGCAGAAAUGCUCGUGCGGGUUCGAGUCCCGCCUGGGGCA
rnacentral:tRNA from 2 species